ensembl:lncRNA novel transcript, antisense to DEC1
GCCUUUAACACAUGGCGCAUGCUUGCUUCCCAAAGCUAAGGAGGGCUCUGUGCAGGCGGGCAGCCCACCCUAAGGGAAGAAUCAUGGGAAAGAGAUGGGGAACUGCGACAUGAAGAAGUUAACUUACCUAAGAUCAGAGAAUGAGUCAAGGACAGAACAGGACCAUGUCAUCAAAUUUAGAGAAACUUGAACUAUGAGAAAAGAAAAGGAGAAUGGAAUCCAAAACUCUGGAGGACAUUUCUGGCUGAAAAUUUGAAGGGCCAUGUUUUACAGUGAGGUUGGAGAUCAUUGGGGAUCUUCAUGGAAGAGCAUACAUUUGAGCUGAAGAUGUAAACAAGCAUAGUUUGAGCAUGGAAACAAGGAGGAUUCCAGCAAAGGAAACUCAAAAGAAUAGUGACAGAAAACAAAGGCAGUCAUUUGGUUCAGGUGCAAGUGACCAGGUAAAGGAUUUCAGGGCAUAAAUUUGGCAGAGCAAACCAUGGGAAGUUUGAAGGACCUGGAAUCUCAAACCUGGGAGUUUAUAAUCUCUUCUAUAGUUGCUUGGAAAGGAUGGACUAAUUUUGAUUGAGACUUGACCAGAACUGGGAUAUAAAAAGAUUCAUCUGGCAAAGUAUAGCAUGAAAUUAAGACAGAAAAAACAAGAGGUGGACCUAAACAUAAGACCUGAAUCUAUAAAAAUCCUAAAAGAAAACAUAGAGAAUACUCUUCUGG